GGGGAAGCAAAGGUUUCGACGGGAAUUUUUUGGCAUUAUGAAUAGCGGGUAGAGUGGGAACUCUUUAAACAUCACAAACAAUUUUUAAAUGCAGGUAAUAAAGGUAAAGAUGAUGAUAACGUAAUAACCCUAGACUUUGUCAAGGGGAGCAGCGCUAUCGCCGCUUAAAUGCGGACAUCCGUCUAAUCAAGAGUACCACGCCUUGAUUUAGGCGUCGAUUAGUGGUGAACGUUUCCGGGAGCUUCUCGACCCGAGAAAUGAAAUAGAGAAUAUAGUCGAAGGCGUUUUUGUUUGUUUUCGUGCUACCGACUGAAUUAGAAAAAAACAAACUGCACCCGGAGAAUUUCAUAUGCAAAAGUUUUCGGACAGGGGUUCAACUCCCCUCUUCUCCACCA
rnacentral:tmRNA from 1 species